rnacentral:rRNA from 1 species
AACGAACGCUGGCGGCAGGCCUAACACAUGCAAGUCGAGCGAACCCUUCGGGGUUAGCGGCGGACGGGUUAGUAACGCGUGGGAAUAUACCCUUUGGUACGGAAUAGCCUCGGGAAACUGAGAGUAAUACCGUAUGUGCCCUUCGGGGGAAAGAUUUAUCGCCAAAGGAUUAGCCCGCGUUGGAUUAGAUAGUUGGUGGGGUAAUGGCCUACCAAGUCUACGAUCCAUAGCUGGUUUGAGAGGAUGAUCAGCAACACUGGGACUGAGACACAGCCCAGACUCCUACGGGAGGCAGCAGUGGGGAAUCUUAGACAAUGGGCGCAAGCCUGAUCUAGCCAUGCCGCGUGGACGAUGAAGGCCUUAGGGUUGUAAAGUCCUUUCAGAUGGGAAGAUAAUGACGGUACCAUCAGAAGAAGCCCCGGCUAACUCCGUG